rnacentral:tRNA from 1 species
UCCCUGGUAGUCCAGUGGCUAAGACUCUGCGCUUCCAAGGCAGGGGGCCCAGGUUCGAUUCCCGGUCAGGGAG